AUUGAACGCUGGCGGCAGGCCUAACACAUGCCAGUCGAGCGGAUGAAGGGAGCUUGCUCCUGGAUUCAUCGGCGGACGGGUGGGUAAUGCCUAUGAAUCUGCCUGGUAGUGGGGGAUAACGUCCGGAAACGGGCGCUAAUACCGCAUACGUCCUGUGGGCGCAAGUGGGUGAUCUUCGGACCUCUCGCUAUCAUGUGAGCCUAGGUCGGAUUAGCUAGUUGGGGGGGUAAAUGCCUACCCAGGCGACGAUCCGUAACUGGUCUUAGAGGAUGAUCAGUCAGACUGGAAGAGAGAAACGGCAGAGACUCCGACGGGAGGAAGCAGUGGGGAAUAUUGGAGAAUGGGGGAAAGCCUGAUACAGGAAUGCGGGGGGUGUGAAGAAGGUCUUCGGAUGGUAAAGCAAUGUAAGUUGGGAGGAAGGGCAGUAAGUUAAUACCUGGCUGUUUUGACGGUACCAGCAGAAUAAGCACCGGCUAACUUCGUG
rnacentral:rRNA from 1 species